UUGGCGGGGUGCUUACCAUGCAAGUCGAACGAUGAAGCCCUUUCGGGGGUGGAUUAGUGGCGAACGGGUGAGUAACACGUGAGCAACCUGCCCUUGACUCUGGGAUAAGCCUGGGAAACUGGGUCUAAUACCGGAUAGGACUCCUCAUCGCAUGGUGGGGGGUGGAAAGCCUUGUGCGGUCUUGGAUGGGCUCGCGGCCUAUCAGCUUGUUGGUGGGGUGAUGGCCUACCAAGGCGACGACGGGUAGCCGGCCUGAGAGGGUGACCGGCCACACUGGGACUGAGACACGGCCCAGACUCCUACGGGAGGCAGCAGUGGGGAAUAUUGCACAAUGGGCGCAAGCCUGAUGCAGCGACGCCGCGUGGGGGAUGACGGCCUUCGGGUUGUAAACCCCUUUCAGCAGGGAAGAAGCGCAAGUGACGGUACCUGCAGAAGAAGCGCCGGCUAACUACGUGCCAGCAGCCGCGGUAAUACGUAGGGCGCGAGCGUUAUCCGGAAUUAUUGGGCGUAAAGAGCUCGUAGGCGGCUUGUCGCGUCUGCUGUGAAAGCCCGGGGCUCAACCCCGGGUCUGCAGUGGGUACGGGCAGGCUGGAGUGCAGUAGGGGAGACUGGAAUUCCUGGUGUAGCGGUGAAAUGCGCAGAUAUCAGGAGGAACACCGAUGGCGAAGGCAGGUCUCUGGGCUGUAACUGACGCUGAGGAGCGAAAGCAUGGGGAGCGAACAUGAUUAGAUACCCUGGUAGUCCAUGCCGUAAACGUUG
rnacentral:rRNA from 1 species